rnacentral:rRNA from 1 species
UACGUAGGGAGCAAGCGUUAUCCGGAUUUAUUGGGUGUAAAGGGUGCGUAGAUGGAUAAACAAGUUGUUUGUGAAAUACCUCGGCUCAACUGAGGAACUGCAAGCAAAACUGUAUAUCUUGAGUACUGGAGGGGAAAGCGGAAUUCCUAGUGUAGCGGUGAAAUGCGUAGAUAUUAGGAAGAACACCGGUGGCGAAGGCGGCUUUCUGGACAGAAACUGACAUUGAGGCACGAAAGUGUGGGGAGCAAACA